rnacentral:rRNA from 1 species
AGUAAAUAGAUACCCUCGGUAGUCCACGCCGUAAACGAUGUCGACUUGGAGGUUGUGCCCUUGAGGCGUGGCUUCCGGAGCUAAACGCGUUAAGUCGACCGCCUGGGGAGUACGGCCGCAAGGUUAAACUCAAAUGAAUUGACGGGGGCCCGCACAAGCGGUGGAGCAUGUGGUUUAAUUCGAUGCAACGCGAAGAACCUUACCUACUCUUGACAUCCAGAGAACUUAGCAGAGAUGCUUUGGUGCCCUCGGGAACUCUGAGACAGGUGCUGCAUGGCUGUCGUCAGCUCGUGUUGUGAAAUGUUGGGUUAAGUCCCGCAACGAGCGUCAACCCUUAUCCUUUGUUGCCAGCGGUUAGGCCGGGAACUCAAAGGAGACUGCCAGUGAUAAACUGGAGGAAGGUGGGGAUGACGUCAAGUCAUCAUGGCCCCUUACGGAUAGGGCGUACACACGUGCUACAAUGGCGCAUCAAAGAGAAGCGACCUGCCGAGAGCAAGACGGACCUCAU